rnacentral:rRNA from 1 species
GACGAACGCUGGCGGCGCGCCUAACACAUGCAAGUCGAACGAGCGAGAGAGAGCUUGCUUUCUCGAGCGAGUGGCGAACGGGUGAGUAACGCGUGAGGAACCUGCCUCAAAGAGGGGGACAACAGUUGGAAACGACUGCUAAUACCGCAUAAGCCCACGGCUCGGCAUCGAGCAGGGGGAAAAGGAGCAAUCCGCUUUGAGAUGGCCUCGCGUCCGAUUAGCUAGUUGGUGGGGUAACGGCCCACCAAGGCGACGAUCGGUAGCCGGACUGAGAGGUUGAACGGCCACAUUGGGACUGAGACACGGCCCAGACUCCUACGGGAGGCAGCAGUGGGGAAUAUUGCACAAUGGGGGAAACCCUGAUGCAGCGACGCCGCGUGGAGGAAGAAGGUAUUCGGAUUGUAAACUCCUGUUGUUGGGGAAGAUAAUGACGGUACCCAACAAGGAAGUGACGGCUAACUACGUG